UCCUUAUUUUGCCAAUUGAUGUAUCCCUUAUGCUGUCCCUGAUUGCUGUCGCUACCGAAUUUGACAUCCCCACGUUCAUUCGACCUUCCCACUCCUUAUAAAUAAUACAAAAUCCAUCACAUAAGAUAUUGAGCACAACGUACCAUAACACGAGACUGUAGAUAGAGAGUGGAUUUUCAGCACCCGGGUGCCUAGGCACCCUCUAUGAACUUGGGGAGUACAUUGGCUCAAUCCAAGUUAGCAGAUGCAAAUUAGGCGCACAUUUAUAAUAUCAGAUAACACUCAUUAAUAUUAAGCAAUUCAUCUCUGCACAGUUAACGACUACAAUUUUUGUAUGAUUACCAAUGGCAGGAAAUGAUAUAGAAGGACGAACCACCGUGGUGACGACUUGUAAGUUCGCACCACCUAGAAAUGGCUGGUUGGAAAGAAUGCAUGGAUAGUCGAGGCAGAGAGACUACCAUAUCGCCAUAGCGGGGCUGCUGCGAGAAGCACACUUCUGGGCGGAGCUUCGUUGCCGAUGAGCUCGGAUCUGCUAGGCCGCCGACAAUAUGUCCAGGAGCCAUCAGAGAGAUGGAACAACACCUUCACUGUGUGUGCUCACCUACUUGACUCCGGAUCUCGGUCGAUGCCACUACUGUGUUUCCUCUCCAUACUUGUGAAUCGAUUGCUCCAGAGCACUCAUUUCAGCAUUUAUAUAAACUUGGAUCAAGCUGUGCUGAAGAAACAGUUUUCAAUUAAGUAGGUUAUAAUUGAUGCAGAAAUAAACACCCAAUUUUCAAUUAAGUAGGUUAUAAUUGAUGCAGAAAUAAACACCGGCAGAUAGCUAAGAUGAUUAAAAAAUGUUGGAAUUCAUUUGAGCAGCUACUGAACCCAACAACCUGCUCCAUAUAUAUGGUAAAAUGGCAUCCUAUACCAUGGAUGGUAUGGCAUGCUAACUUCGACAAGAAGAUGUCCAGACUCCAGAGCCACCAUGCCGCUCUCCUUCGCCUCCCCCUCCUCCCUCCCUCACUCCCCAACAGAUCCCCUCUUCCCACUUCCUCCUCGCCCCAGCAAUGCCGCCUAGCUCGUAGCCGGCGCGCCCGUCCGUACGUCCGUCGGUUGCAAUGGCGUCCGCGGCGGUGCUGCUGCUGGCGGCCGCCGUAGUCGUCUUGCUGGCAUGCCUAGCACUCGCAGACCCGCCGACGAGGGAGCAGUCGGCGCUGCUGGCGAUCCUCGCCGCUACCCCGCAGGAGCGCAAGCUCGGGUGGAGCGCCUCCACGCUGGCCUGCGCUUGGGUCGGGGUCACCUGCGACGCCGCCAAUUCCACCGUCAUCAAGCUGCGCCUACCCGGCGUCGGGCUCGUCGGCCCCAUCCCGCCCUCCACCAUCGGUCGCCUCACCAACCUCCAGGUGUUGUCCCUUCGCGCCAACCGCGUGUCCGGGGCCAUCCCCGACUACAUCCUCCGGCUCUCCACUCCGUCUUCCUGCAGGACAACGCCAUCUCCGGCGCCAUCCCGCCGGGGGUCUCCAGGCUCGCGGUGCUGGAGCGGCUCGUGCUCUCCCACCACAACCUGUCGGGCCCCAUCCCCUACACGCUCGGAGGCCUCGCCGCGCUCCGCGCGCUCAGGCUCGACAGCAACCGCCAGUCCGGCAAAAUCCCCAUAAUCGCCAACCCGGGGCUCAACACAACCGGCUCAACGGCUCCAUCCCGCGGGCGCUCGCGCGGUUCCCCGCCGACACCUUCGUCGGAAACCUCCAGUUGUGCGGCACACCGCUGCCCCCUGCAGCCCCUUCUUCCCGUCCCCGUCGCCGGCGCCAGGGAUGGGCCCCAGCAAUGGCAAGCCACUGAAGAAGAAGAAGAAGGUAUCCACCGCAGCGAUCGUCAGCAUCAUCGUGGCCGCCGUGGUCGUCGCGCUGCUGCUGCUUCUGGCCAUCCUGUUCUGCUGCAAGAGGUCCCGACGAGGCGUGCGCGCGGACGGCGCAAAAGAGUGUUGCCUCUCCUUAAUGGAUCCAAUAAAUAGAUAUCCAGGUUUGGGUACUUCUAUAAAAAAUAUUAUAGUUCCAAUAAAUUGGUAUCUAGGUUUGACUACUUCUAUAAGAAGAUUACUUCAUCUAGCAUGUAGACACAUGAAGAAACAUAUUCCUUGUAAUCUGUAGACACUUAACUUGAAGCAGGCCAGCAGCUAAAAAACUGAUAUUAAGCAUGCAUCCUGGGUUCAGGGGCUCAAUCUUUCCAAGAAAUUACGAAAA
rnacentral:lncRNA from 1 species